rnacentral:rRNA from 1 species
AUUGAACGCUGGCGGAAUGCUUUACACAUGCAAGUCGAACGGCAGCACGGACUUCGGUCUGGUGGCGAGUGGCGAACGGGUGAGUAAUGUAUCGGAACGUGCCCAGUCGUGGGGGAUAACGUAGUGAAAAUUACGCUAUACCCCAAACGAUCUAUGGAUGGAAGCGGGGGGUCGCAAGACCCCUCGCCAUUGGAGCGGCCGAUAUCAGAUUAGGUAGUUGGUGGGGUAAAGGCCCAACAAGCCCACGAUCUGUAGCUGGUCUGAGAGGACGACCAGCCACACUGGAACUGAGACACGGUCCAGACUCCUACGGGAGGCAGCAGUGGGGAAUUUUGGACAAUGGGCGAAAGCCUGAUCCAGCCAUUCCGCGUGCAGGAUGAAGGCCCUCGGGUUGUAAACUGCUUUUGUACAGAACGAAAAGGUUUCUACUAAUACUAGGAGCUCAUGACGGUACUGUAAGAAUAAGCACCGGCUAACUACGUGCCAGCCGCCGCCGUAA